UCAGUAUCAAAAAAAGAUGCAUACCCGUUACCAUACAUGACAGCAAUACUAGACAAAUUACGACAAGCAAAAUACAUCUCAAAAAUAGACUUGAGCCAAGCAUACUUCCAAAUACCAUUAGACGAGAACAGCAAACACAUAACAGCCUUCACAGUACCGGGAAAAGGGUUAUUCCAAUUUAAACAAAUGCCAUACGGCCUAUCAGGCGCACCCGCGACAUUCCAAAGACUACUCGAUAAACUAAUAGGUGCGGACGCGGAACCAUAUGCAUUCGCAUACCUAGACGACAUCAUUAUAGUCACACAAACAUACGAGGAACACAUACACAGACUCGCACACAUACUAGACAGAAUAACGGAAGCAGGAUUAACAAUAAACCCAGGAAAGUGUGAAUUCGGGUGCUCACAAGUUAAAUA